GCUGUGAUUGUAUAGUGGUUAGUGCUCUGUGUUGUGGCUGCAGCAACCUCAGUUCAAAUCCGAGUCAUGACA
rfam:Neotoma lepida isolate 417 scaffold_3311, whole genome shotgun sequence.